rnacentral:rRNA from 1 species
AACGAACGCUGGCGGCAGGCUUAACACAUGCAAGUCGAACGGUCUCUUCGGAGGCAGUGGCAGACGGGUGAGUAACGCGUGGGAAUCUACCUAGUUCUACGGAACAACAGUUGGAAACGACUGCUAAUACCGUAUACGCCCUACGGGGGAAAGAUUUAUCGGAAUUAGAUGAGCCCGCGUAAGAUUAGCUAGUUGGUGGGGUAAUGGCCUACCAAGGCGACGAUCUUUAGCUGGUCUGAGAGGAUGAUCAGCCACACUGGGACUGAGACACGGCCCAGACUCCUACGGGAGGCAGCAGUGGGGAAUAUUGGACAAUGGGCGCAAGCCUGAUCCAGCCAUGCCGCGUGAGUGAUGAAGGCCUUAGGGUUGUAAAGCUCUUUCAGUAGGGAAGAUAAUGACGGUACCUACAGAAGAAGCCCCGGCUAACUUC